UCAGCGCAGCCUGGUCCUGACACUUCUUUUCAACUGUCUCUGGAGCCAGUCCUGCCUUGUACUGCUGUGUGUCCUUAGAAAAUAGGCUGCCAGGUGCUGAACACCCACAUUUUGGAGUGAUCACUCAUGAGGUCACAUUUCCCACUGGAUGAAUGAGAGGAAUACAGGCUGGAACAGUCUUUCCUUCCAUUGAAUCCUUACAGCAGAACUUAUAACCCAAUUUAGUUUUCUCCAUAGUCUUUAGAUUUGCAUGGUCCCCUGAAUAUCUGCAGUGGAAAGCUGAAUUCCCUGCAGCAGACUCAAUAACCUUGCAGUGCCAGGCUAUGGGUGUCUGCAAAUUGCCACGUAUUCAAACAUGCCUGUGGAUCCCCAGUAGAAAGGUGCUGUAGAGCAAUGCACAGCAGUCUGAAUGAGCUAGGGAGGGUAGCUAUGUCAGCAGUUUAUGAGUUGGUUUUGGGCACCUGUGUAUAUGAAGUCUGCAGCCAAACUGCUGUUCUUAUCAGGUUGGAGGGAAGGAUGAGGAAUGCUCUAGGAAACCUGCCCCAUCUCUCAACCAGCCAUCACACCCUCCCAGAAAAAAAAGUCUAAUGAUGCAGCAAGACAGAGUUUCUCCUCAUCCCCUCCUUCCUAUUCUCUUCUAAGGAUCAUUGGGUUUAAUAGGAAGUUGCAAGCUGCUGGAAUCACAUUUUGCUGUCUGUACAGCUUGGAGAUGAACAACUCUUUGAUUAAGCAUCAAAAUAUUAUGGGAAAUUUCUAUUUGGAACCAAAAGAAUGAAUCUGUGGCAAGAAAGCGGGAGGGCAUCCUGCCACCUCUGCAAAGUGCUCCUGACCCUGGCACAUGGACAGCACAAGCUAUGCUAGCUGUGCACAGGGCAGUGUUGAGGCAAUGUAUAAUAAGACUCCUUGUGCAGGUGAACAAUCUCUUCUGAAUGAAACUCCAGUUUGUGCAAGAGGUGCAUCUCAUGCCCACCCUGAGCUUUGGAGCUCAUCUUCCCUCAGGGCCAGCAGUGAGUUGGCAUGCCAUGGCAAGCAAGGCCCUUGGCACAACUGCAGUGUGUAAGCUGGAGAUGCACACUUAUUCUCAGGUUGGCACAGGUUGCUCUCCUUGCAAGUUUUCCCAGCUUGCCUGCCUGCCCCGGGUGGUACAGACACGUCUUCCUGCCUCCCUCUGCUCCCUGACCCCUCUCUGGCUUGUUGAGUCAUUGCUCCAGUCUUGAGUGAGUUCUAGGCAAUUUCUAGGAUGAGAAAGCUAGCUUUUCUCAUUGCCUCAGGUGAGAUUAAACAUCACAUUUUGCUGUGAUACUGGGGACAGAUUGGCUGGUUGAGAGUGCCAUGGAAUUAGUUUUACCAUAAUUAUCAAAUCCCACCUGGCAAUUUCUUUCUGCUUCUCCCUGUUCUGCUGGUCAUCUUUUCUGAGUAUGGACUGGUUGCUUCUUGCCCCUACGUCCCCAGCCCAGACACAGCAAUCUCUUCAUGUUGACUGAAGGUGUUGAAGUUGGUAUAUCACCCUGCUUCCUGAGCUGUGGUGCACCUAAAUAUCAGCUGUUUGUUGUGUGCUGAAUUGUAUGCAUACAAAAUGUGCAACCCUUGGGCAAGGUCUAGGUCAGAGCCCUUUGCUUCCUACUUGGUUUGGGGAAAGAAGCCCCAAGAGCCUUGCUGGGCUCUGAGUUCAGCAGCAAGCCACAGGCAGUGCCACAGCAGGUCAGGCCCAUGGCUGGCACCUGGAUCACAUGGCUGCAGCUGUGCUCAAGAAAACUUUAUAGCAGGCUCGUGGCUUUCUUUGAGUGCGUUUCCAAACACAGUCCUGCCAGCCAGAAAUUCCUGGUUGCACCAUCUGGAUUCUGUGAAGGGAAAAGAAACAAGGGUUGCCCUUUGAGAUGUGGCAAGAGGAAGGAAAGAAGCUCUGGCAAGGGUCCCACCUUUCUGAGGUUGUCAGUGAAGGAGUUCCCAAACGCUUCUGCCAUUCCACUGAGCUUCUUCAAGUGCCUGGGCAGUGCUGCCAGGUGAGUCUUGCUUUGCUGCAUACAUGGAUCCCAUGGAUUCUUAUAUCCUGCGCAGCGUGUUGCAAGGGAAAAAUGCCUGCUGAAUGUUAUAACCAGAGAUGUUGUUUCUUGAGCUGUUGGUGAAGCUGUACCACUGUAUUGCAGAGCUAUUGUAUCUAUCACUGCAAACACACAUCCUGUGCAUUUUUCCAGGGUAAGGAGUGCAACCACAGUUUCAUGUUUUGAUUUUCCAAUUCUAUGCAGUAAUCAACAGAAUAGUUACAUUUCUGUUGUUGUGUUUCUUCUACAUUGUCAGGAACACUUCCAGCCUGGGAUCCAGGAACAGAGCACCUGAGAUGUGCAGCCCAAUUUUCUUUCUAUUUCAGCCAUAUAAAUUGCAGACACAACCUGAAAUAUCACCUCAUCCCUCAGCAAAUGGGCACCAAGUCGCUCAAUGCUCAACAGUCACUCUGCUCAAUAGGUUACUCUGCUCUCAAAACAAGGCAGGAAAGGGGCUGUCAUAGGUGUUACCCCUGCUCUGUGUGCUAACAUGGUUUUGCCUCAGGCUGGAAAGGAAAAUAUUAUCUACUUCAAACUUUCAGAUGAACAUGGAGGAACAGGACCAGAAUCAGUUGCAGCAGGUAGGGCUUUCCCAGGUAUGUGCAGUAUGGGAAGGUCCAAAAGGUGUCAUCUGGCUUGGGGUAUGUUUAAGGAUAGGAGAAAGGGGCUCAGAAUGAUUGAGGAAUUUCAUGUGAAACACAACAGUGAGAAAAUCUCUUUCAACUGUGCUGGGGGAUUUUGUGGUGGAGACUAAUGAGGGGGAACAUUCACUGCUCAUACUUUCCCCUGUAGAUGCAAUCCUUAGAGAGGACUGUGCGAGUCUUCUGUGUGAUUUUUAGUCAGUAAAACAUCUGUUAGAGCCUGGUGAUGCUUCCUCCUGGUGCAGGUCUAUGGUAGAAGCUGGAGUUCCCACAAAUUCAGCUCCCAGUACAUUUAUACAAGAUGAAUCCACGUGGUUGUGCCUGGACCCUGAACGUACUGUGAUGUGAUGGUGAAAAGGAGGCUCUUUGCCCAGGCCUACCCUGUCAUGUGCAGGAUCUGUGGGAGGAUGUGCUUGUGAGGACCUCAUCCAGAUACUGUUAAUGAUGAGAAUGGAAAAAUGAGUCUCAUCUCCACAGGAUCUGACCCACAGGGUUGUGCCAAGUCUCCAGAUGCUGACUGCUUAACAGGCUUUUGGGUACCAGACUUUGGCUUUGGAGAUGCUUUAGUGCAAGAAGGUGCCUUCCCUGCAUCCCAGUGGUUUGGAGAGGCUGUUAUUCCAACAAUAGCUUUUCCACCAAGGUGCUUGAGUAGAAAUGCUGGGAAGGAAACCAGGAAUGCCAAGAGAUCUCUUGGAGUUAAGUUGGCUGUAGGAUAUGAAGCACAUGUCUCUGGCCACUCUGGUUAUUACUGCAAUUCACUGCCGUGCUGCUCUUCACAGUACAGAGCAUGUAGUGAAACACAAGCGUAUUAGAAAGUUUGCAGUUGAUUUUCCAUGCCCAGUCAAGUUCUAACCAAGCAUGGGAACCUUAUUUUCCACUUUCCAGUCCAAAAGUCCCACCCAUCAUAAAGCUAUGCAUAUCCCCAUCCCAAUGGCCUGUGUUCAGCUGGAGCAUCCCAUCAGCAUCUGGAGGAAAGCAGCUGUUAAAGCCCUCGGUGUAGAAAUGUUCAAUCAUAACAUCAGGAGCGUGUGUGAAUUAAUAAAAGUGAACAGUAAAUCCUUGCCAUUUUCUGGAGGAAAAAAAAGGCCCCUGUCAUGGAAAGCCAUGCUUUCCAUAGGCAUUUUUGUAUCUUUUCGUGCUUGACAGUUUAUCUGUGGUAUCAAAGGCUCAAGUCUCUCCUGAUAAUUUCUUCUGGCCAGGGAAUAAGCAUCUG